rnacentral:rRNA from 1 species
AUUGAACGCUGGCGGCAGGCCUAACACAUGCAAGUCGAGCGGAUGAAGGGAGCUUGCUCCUGGAUUCAGCGGCGGACGGGUGAGUAAUGCCCAGGAAUCUGCCUGGUAGUGGGGGAUAACGUCCGGAAACGGGCGCUAAUCCCGCAUACGUCCUGAGGGUGAAAGUGGGGGAUCUUUGGUCCACACGCUAUCUGAUGAGCCUAGGUCGGAUUAGCUAGUUGGUGGGGUAAAGGCCUACCAAGGCGACGAUCCGUAACUGCUCUGAGAGGAUGAUCAGUCACACUGGAACUGAGACACGGUCCAGACUCCUACGGGAGGCAGCAGUGGGGAAUAUUGGACAAAGGGCGAAAGCCUGAUCCAGCCAUGCCGCGUGUGUGAAGAAGGUCUUCGGAUUGUAAAGCACUUUUAGUUGGGAGGAAGGGCAGUAAGUGAAUACCUUGCUGUUUUGACGUUACCAACAGAAUAAGCACCGGCUAACUUCGUG